rnacentral:rRNA from 1 species
CACCAGACUCCUACGGGAGGCAGCAGUGAGGAAUAUUGGUCAAUGGCCGGAAGGCUGAACCAGCCAUGCCGCGUGAAGGUCAGUGCCCUAUGGGCGUUAAACUUCUUUUGUGCGGGAGCAAUAAUGGUCACGUGUGGCCAGACGAGAGUACCGUACGAAUAAGCAUCGGCUAACUCCGUGCCAGCAGCCGCGGUAAUACGUAGGUGGCAAGCGUUGUCCGGAUUUACUGGGUGUAAAGGGCGUGCAGCCGGAGAGACAAGUCAGAUGUGAAAUCCACGGGCUCAACCCGUGAACUGCAUUUGAAACUGUUUCCCUUGAGUGUCGGAGAGGUAAUCGGAAUUCCUUGUGUAGCGGUGAAAUGCGUAGAUAUAAGGAAGAACACCAGUGGCGAAGGCGGUCUGCUGGACAGCAACUGACGCUGAGGCGCGAAAGCGUGGGGAGCAAACAGGAUUAGAUACCCGUGUAGU